CCACCCCUUCAGCCUCACCUCCAGUGCAACAUGUAUAGAAACUCACUAACCCAUUCAAACUAGAUCAGUGAAGAAUCACUUAUGGUGAGAUCCUCCUCAUCUCUUGCUCUGUUAUUCUCUUUUUGGUCUUUUUCAUCUUUCUUCCGAAUUUAGUUACUUCUGUUGGGUGCUCUGGUUGCUGCGUUUCUAGAUUUUUUAGGGAAAAUAGUUUUGGAUGGGACGCCAAACCAUGUUGAACGUGAUUCAGGAGGGAUGACAAGAUCAGUUCUGGCAGCUUCCUUAGUCGCUUGAUGAAUCUUUUCCCGUCCAUUCCUAACUAUCUCUCUUUCUCUUCGUCCACUUCUCAUCAGCCUCUCCUUUGAGCACUCGUCCUUCCUGGGCAUGAGAUUCAGAUAGAACAUUGAGGAGAGUGCAAUUAUCUGGGUGGGUUAUAUGGCUACGGAGGAGCUGGCUUUCAAUAAGGAAUGUUAUGUACAAUUGAUAUACUAUUAAUACAAAAUAUUGACAUAUAUAGUUGGAACUUUAAACUUGAAAUUUGGUCGAUAAGUGUCUACCGACCAUCCUACUUUCACCAUGUGUGUACUCGUCCAUAAAAAACCAACAUGUAGACAACAAAUUAAACGACUAUAGAUGAGUAUAACUACACGCACCCGUGUAAAUAAAGUGUAUGGCGUCGAAAAAAAGUGUGUGUAGUUUACUAUAACGAUAAAGUGUCCAUCUUAUCCUUUUGGUGCUUUGUUCGUGAGCAUGAAG
rnacentral:lncRNA from 1 species